GUACAAAACCUCGUACUUGAAGUACUUUUAGCAAACCUUUUAGUUUCCCAAUCUGUGUGUGUUAAGGAGAUUAGCCUCGGAAUUAUUGGAAACCUUGCCUGCCAUGAAGUUCCGUUGAAACGUAUAGUCUCUAUAAAUGGAUUGGCUGAGAUAAUUGUAGAACAAUUAUUUCUAGACAACGCUCAAUGUCUAUGUGAAGCUUGUCAGUAAUACAUAGGUUGUUAACUUUGGGUUUUCAAAGUGGUGAAUGUAUUACAUGGGCUGAAGCAUUGCAGUCUGAACAUAUUCUAUGCCAGAUUUUAUGGAUUGUGGAAAAUACCUUAAAUUUACAGCUUAUUGAAAAGGUAGAAAAUAUUUACUGAAAUUGCCUUGUAAGCAAGUCUGAUCUGAUUGAAGAUGAUCUUCUCGACCACCAACUAGAUGACUCCAGCAAAGGGCAUAAGGAGGGCUUGACCACUUAUCGCACAAAAUCAAAUGCUAUAAGUACAGCCGUAUCCUUGCAGGGACAAUGACAUAUUUGGAUCUAGGAACUUUCAGUACCUUGCUUAGAAGGAUGAUCUGUAUUUUAACCCAAUGGACUACUUCAAACGACUUUGCUGAAGUGACUAACAUGGCAAAUGAGCUUAACGAAGAUAAUGUCAAUGUGAAUAGAUUGCUUGAUUGCUGUCGUAAAUAUUCUGAGUAAGCUGUUUUUCUCUCUUUCUACUUGAUCUUAUUUGUUGCAAUGCUUCAAGUGAAACAAACGGCUUGUAUUUCUUUGAAUACCAAUUUUUUUUUUUUUUUCCACAAAUCGUAGAGCUUUAACAAAGUUUUUACUUGAAUAAUUAUCUUGUUUGAUUAUUACAUGUCAGCUUUAUGUAAUUUUAAUGUGAAGUGGAAAAUCCAAUAAACACAAAGACAAAGGUGCCAUGGCACCCGUGGCCGAGGGCACAUGAAGCUCAUUUUCUAUCUGAUGGAUACCCUAGUUUUGAGUAAUGCUAUGUCAUUUGGUCAUGCAAUUAAAAUGGAAAAGAAACUUAAAUGGGGAGGAAGGGGAGAGAUCAAUGGGUUGAUU